CCUACGGGCGGCAGCAGUGAGGAAUAUUGGUCAAUGGACGAGAGCCUGAACCAGCCAAGUCGCGUGAAGGAUGACGGCUCUAUGGUUUGUAAACUUCUUUUAUAAAGGAAUAAACCGAGGCACGUGUUCCUUUUUGCAUGUACUUUAUGAAUAAGGAUCGGCUAACUCCGUGCCAGCAGCCGCGGUAAUACGGAGGAUCCGAGCGUUAUCCGGAUUUAUUGGGUUUAAAGGGAGCGUAGAUGGUUUAUUAAGUCAGAUGUGAAAGUUUGCGGCUCAACCAUAAAAUUGCAGUUGAUACUGGUAGACUUGAGUACAGUUGAGGUAGGCGGAAUGCGUGGUGUAGCGGUGAAAUGCAUAGAUAUCACGAAGAACCCCGAUUGCGAAGGCAGCUUACUAAACUGUAACUGACAUUGAUGCUCGAAAGUGUGGGUAUCAAACAGGAUUAGAUACCCUUGUAGUC
rnacentral:rRNA from 1 species